AUGGCAACUGAUCAACAAAAUGUCAAGGAGCAAAGAACCAGUUUUUUUCCAGUCAAGCUGAAAGAACAAAAUGCUGAGGAGUCGUCGCUCUCUGAUUUCAGUGUGCAAUGACGGAGGAGAAGCUGAAGUCCAGACUGCAGCAGAGGGUGAUUUGUUGGCGUGAGGCUCAAAAUGAGGCUCUGUGACGAAUCUGAGGACGCAAACACUGCAGUGGAGCAGACAGGAGGGUCUGCAGCCUCCAGCUGCUCCAGAAACAGCGAGCGGCUCGCUGUGCCACGUUUCGGCCGUCACCACCUGCCUGCAGACUGGGUGGAGUUUCCAACGUCCAUCUAUCUGCUGAUGAAACACAAUCAAUCCCAAGAGCUGAUUGAUGUCGACUUCAACUUGGAGCCUUCAGUCACAAAACCUGUGUGCGUGAGGACGAGCAGUAAGGGAUAUCCUCCAUAUUUCUAGAGUCCAGCCUGAACUGUGCAGUUAUGAUGCUUUCAGCCUGAAGAGGAAUGAAUUCUCUGGAUGUGAACAUCAGAUUCAACGUGAGCUUCCUUAUUCCAGUCGAGAGAUGAGAAAUAUCUUCUACAAGUUGAACGUCAGCGCUCGCUGUCAGGAGAUCUGCUUAUAAGUAAUUUGGUUGGUUAAUAAUUAGCUUUAAAAUCACAACAACCAUGACAUAUACCGUUAUAUUUAGAGAUGAAAACAGAACAGAAAUGUCAUUCAGUAGUUUAAUAGUGUGUGUAUAUGUAUGUAAUUAUAUAAUAUAAUUACAGUCAAAGAAAAAAAUCUGUCAUCAGAAAUCACGCAUGUUGGUGCAGGUGAAGUGCUGUGAAGCUGUCGGCUUUGAGGAGAGCGAUAUGAAGGCUUGUUCUUUUCUCUUCUAACGACGUGAAAUUAGGAUUUAUUUCAACCAAACCAGUGAUGGUGAUUGUUGGAGCAGUGGAGAGAUUAACAAAGAUCCAUUUGGUGAGUUUUAUUUUGUUUGUGUCCAGUUUGAAUGAAGUUCGUUUUAUGAAGAUUUGCAGUGUCAAAUUAUUGUUUUUGUUCAGUGGAAUCUGGAGGCUAAGGAGAGUGAUGUAAAAAUGAUCUUUAAAAAAAGGUCUAUAUCUGUAGGGAUUCUUCCCACAAUGUUGUCAGACACUUAGAAUAACAGUCUGAGACCAUCAGUGGCAAAAACAAGCACUUAGUUUGUUUUGCCACUGAUACAUUUUCGUCCAUCACAGUGCUUUCUCUUUUUUGUGUAGUGUUCUCGUGUUUUUUUUCUAAUGCUUAAUAUUUUAUUGUGUUUGUGCCUAUAGGCUGUUAAAUACCUGUAGUAUUUGUGUUUAUUAGUAAAACCUGGAACACCUGGAAAUCCUCAAUGCUGAUUUAUUGUUAGGAAGUACUACACAGGCUGCUACAUUAACACUUUCAUGCUUAUAUGAAUGUUUUAUUGGUGGUGCUCCCAGUGCGAUUGAAACUGCCCUGCAUCACAACCUUGUUCAGUUUUUUAUGACACGUUUUGAGAUGUUUGUUUUUUAGGAAGUGUGUUUCUUAAAGCUUCUGCCCUCUGCUGAGAGGUAAUAAAGUUUGUUUGAAUUAUA